CCCCAUAUUUGUUUCAAUCCAGUCUGGUAUGAGAACGUUAGCCACAUUCUGCAAAAGCAUGGUGUUUGCGGAAAGCUGAGUAUAUUGGCUAUUGAUCAGUACCGUCACAUUUUACUAACAUAUAUGGGCAUACAAAUUCAUAAAGGGGAGGCCGAGCAAAUGUCCUCAUUUUAAGAUGGCUGCUACCUACAUUCCGGUUAGCGUUGUGAAGCAUAAACGAAAUAAACACGGAGUACGUUGGUACGCACCGAAAGCCGGGACUCCACAGGUCAUGCGGAUAUCUGAUUUGUCUGCCUGUGACUUACCGUUAUCGAUCACCAGACCCGAGAGUCGAAAUUAUUAUUUUACACAACUUUUUGACCAAACAGCAAACAUCUUACACAAGGUUCCCAUUUCAUGACAAGCUCAGGCUGCAGCAGUGGGUAGCAGAUUUCAGGUGGAUGAAUUGCAAACAAAGCCAACACUCUCGUCUCUGUGCCCAUCACUUUGAACACGAGUGUUUUCAGCAUGAUGACAAGGGAAAGGUCCGCCUCAUCUCGACUGCUGUGCCCACCAUUUUCUCCUCCCCUGAUCGUCCUCAAAAGGGGUCACAAUGCCCAAUUGAAAGACAAAGGAAUACGGUUGGCACAGAGCUGGCCGCUGCUGAUUCCUUGCCUCUACCAGAGAGCUACCUGGCUAACUAGAGUGGAGCUGCAGGCUGCAUCACUAGGCGAUGUUCCCACACUUCAGCUGAGCAGAGGAUCCAAUACGACAAACCAUGCAGCAGAUCCUCAAUGGUAUAGUGUCUUGGUUAAAAACAAAGACUCCUUUACAUUUGAAUUGACAAUGGUGCUUGUGUGCAUCUAAGAUGUUUUAUAAGCGGCAUGAUUAGAGGCAUAACCAUAUGGCUAUGGAAGUAUAGGAGAAACUAUUGUUAAUGAUAUCUAUCAAUCUUGCAUACUGUUUUCUGAAAGUUAUUUUAAAACAUUUUACUGCAGUGGCCUAAGUCAGGGUCACACAGUGUUUCUUGAUAGUCUUAAACAAAUAUACUUUGAAACAAAAGUACACACUACACAUGGUUAUGGGCUUAAGAAAAUAAGACACCUCUAACAUGUCAGUUAGAGUUGAAAUGCAUUCAAUUUUGAGUUCAUACCAAUAUUACACUUUAUACAUCAGUGAAGACUGAAAUAUAACAAUCGCUUGACAUAGAAACAACAGAUUUUUGGCAUUACUUUUAUUUGAUUAAUUAUGAAAUUGUGAAAAAUAUUAAUAACAUUCCACCCAUGAGGCCACUAGAGGGCGAUUUAACACUGAUUUGGACUACCUGUUUAUUUCAAAACACCCAUACUGAUGAAAGUGACCUUAUGGAAUUCCUAGAUAUUGUCACACCCUGAUCUGUUUCACCUGUCUUUAUGCUCGUUUCCACCCUGUGUUCUCUGUUGGUCUGUUGACAGUUCGUCUUGUCAGGUUUUACCAGCGUGUUUUCCCAUCUCCCUGCUUCAUCAAGUUCUGUUUCCCUGGUUCUGACCCCGAGCCUGCCUGCUGUUCUGUACCUGCCCGACUGUGACCCAUUUACGAACCUCUGCCUGACCCCGACCCUCCCUACUGUUCAGUACCUUAUACACUCUGCCCUGGAUUACGGACCUCUGCCUGUCUUUGACCUGUCUUUUGCCUUCCCCGUUUGGGUCAAUAAACAUCUCUAGCUGUCUGCAUCUGGAUCUUAUUCUGAGUUAAUGGCAGACUCGGACCAACUCCACAAUGCUGUCUCCCUUCAAGGAGCCACCAUUGGAAGACACGAGGAGUUACUGCAAUGUGUUAUGGAGGGACUCCAUACCCUGGCAGAACGCCAUGACCAGGCGUUCGAUACAAUUCCGCGGAUUCUCUACUGGGCAGUGGUUCACACCAGUAAUUUCUCAGCCUACCCCAGUGUCCCAAGAACCCCAUUUACCUCCUCCGGAGCGCUACGCUGGAGAUUCUGGAACUUGACGGGCUUUUCUCUCCCAGUGCUCCCUCAUUUUUGAGCUGCAGCCUUCUUCAUUCCCCUCGAGGAUGGAGUACAUCAACGCAGAUGUCUGGGAGGGAGGGAGCCUGGGCUACGGCGGUGUGGGAGUAGUCUUUAGUCUGGCUCAGUCUGGAGGAGUUCGUGGCAGAAGUUCGGAAGGUGUUUGAUUCUCCGUUGUCCAGGAGAGAGGCUGCUACGUCAAGACUCCCGUAGUGUGGUAGACUACGCAGUGGAUUUUACCACCUGAGAGUUCCUGGAACGUGGAAGCAUUGUUCGACAUGUUCCUUCAUGGAUUAUCGGAGGGGAUCAAAGAUGAGCUCGCAGCCCGGGAGCUGCCCAUGGACUUUGACUGUCCGGAUCGAUGGGCGGCUUCGAGAACGUAGGAGGGAGAAGGUGCCCAAUCUGUGCCUUAUCGUCUUCAUUCACCCUCGAUUCCCACCUCGCCUCCAAAGAAUCCCGGAAACCCCCGAAGUCUACAUGUCCGCGUGAACCCGACGUCACCGAGUGCUGCCAACUUGCCUCCUUUCGGAGUCCAUGCACCUGGGCAGGAGUCCAUCUACACCCAGAGCAGUCUAUAUUGUGGAGCUACGGGAAAUGUUGUAGGUACCUGCCUAUUUAAAAACCCAGGCUCAUCAAGAAGGGGCGAGUACCCUGGUCGGCCAUAUGUUGAAGUUUUCCUCUUCCCUUAAUUGCACCCCUUUCCAUGCCAUCCUGCUGUGGGGGAACCAGACAAAAUCCCUCCGGAUACUCAUCGACUCUGGGGCCAAUGACCCCACUCAGCCCCUCUCCUAUCCCGUGGACGUUAGAGCGCUGGUCGGGCGCUCUAUAGGCCAGGUCACUCACAAUAGCACUCCCAUCAACCUACAAGUGUUAGGGAACCACAGCGAGGCAAUCCAAUUUAUGCUGAUUAAGUUUCCUCGGGUUUCGGUGGUAUUGUGAAACUCUUGGCUCCAGCAACACAAUCCCCUCAUAGACUGGACUGCUGGUGCCAUUAUGUGCUGGAGCCCAAAGUGCCAUGCCCAUUGUCUGAAGUCAGCGCAGCCUGCCCCAGGACGUCCGGCCCACAGCCCAGUCUUCCUACAGGCUGGUACUCAGGGUGUGGGGUGCUAUGGUCAUUGUCUCCACCUAGUAAUGAAAUACAGAAGUGGAACCAGUAAAAAAAAAGAAAACAUGGAAAACUGGGAAAGCUUAGGUGUAAUUGAUAUACAAAUAUUACUUCAUAAUGCAUGUUGAAUAUGUUGAGUAUUGGAAAAUGAACAACAGGGCUAAGCAGCACCAGGGGUAACAACAACAAAAAACAUAAAAAGCUUAGGCAAAGAGAUCUAACAAGUGGUUUGGACAACAGUUAGUGAGCUAGUAAGCUUCCUCCAUGUGUAAACAAGAAUUACAAAUGGGGGGGGGGGGUUGUCACUGGACCAACAAACCGAUGGGGUCCUUCACAAAAGCAUGCUAUCGUCCUUCUCUAGGUUAAGACCUCUGGGGACUAAAGUAUCUAAGGAAUGGAUCCUGGACGUCUCUCUGGACCUUCAGUGUUUGUCAACAUCGCCACCGCGUUUGUUUUGCUGACUGUUCAAUUCCUAAAUAAAAUAACUCACAAAGCGAGUGUCUUGGUAAGCAACUCUAGUGUAUAUUUGGCCUUGUGUUUUAGGUUAUUGUCCUGCUGAGAGUGAAUUUGUAUCCCAGUGUGUUGGAAAGCAGACUGAACCAGGUUUUCCUCUAGGAUUUUGCCUGUACUUAGCUCUUGUAGACGAAAAAUAGAGAGUGAACAAAUGUGAGCGAUGAUGAAGAUGCCACUUGCUGACGCCAGCCUGGCAUGUUGAUUCAAUUUGACGUUGUCCGGAUGGAUGGCUUUAUAUUUGCAUCUCACAGGAGAGAGUCACACCUUCACUGUGGAAAUCUCGGGGAAGAGACGUUCCCAAGGAAGUCCUGAGGUCUGACGCCAGGAGAGGUGUGACAACUGAUGUUGCUGUGUGAAUUAAAUUGUCAUGUUUGGAUUGUUUCAAGAUUUCAUAAAGAGCUAUACAUUUUGAUAUGUCUUAUUGCAUUGUAUGUUUUCUGGAUGGUGUAUUUUUAAAGUGAAUGGAUUGAAAUUGUAUGUUGAGUUGACUGGUUCAGGCACAUUCCUGUUGUCUGGUCAUAACAUUAAAAUUGAGUUGAUUAGAA